GCUUCCUUGGCUCAGUUGGUAGAGCGUUGGUCUCAUAAGUUAUGAGUAAUCCCCCUUGAUUACGUAAUCCAAAGGUCGUGAGUUCGAGCCUCACAGGGAGCA